CCCGCCCCCAAACCCACCCGCCACCGUCGACCCGUCAAUCGUUACUCGUGUACACAAAACGAUAAACAUCAUAUUCCGUAGGACUUUUCGCGUAGACGGUCGAUCCGGACACACGAACAAAUCAAUAUUUUCUAGUGUCAGGUAUAUUUGUUGUGUUAUGUUUUUGUUUCCCCCCCCCCGCGUGCUUUCCUAGGCGAAUACGCGCAUUUCAGUUUUUGUACGUUGACUAA